rnacentral:rRNA from 1 species
GACGAACGCUGGCGGCGUGCCUAAUACAUGCAAGUCGAACGCAGUGGGGACGGGUGAGUAACACGUGGGUAACCUCCCAUCAGAGGGGAUAACACUUGGAAACAGGUGCUAAACCGAUACUGAUGGAUGGACCCGCGGUGCAUUAGCUAGUGGGUGAGGUAACGGCUCACCAAGGCCACGAUGCAUAGCCGACUUGGGAGGGGGAUGGGCAAAAAUGGGAUUGAGAAACGGCCCAGACCCCUACGGGAGGAAGCAGAAGGGAAUCUUGGGCAAUGGACGAAAGUCUGACCGAGAAACGCCGGGUGAUUGAAGAAGGUUUUCGGAUCGUAAAACUUUUUUGUUGGGGAGGCGGUAUCUAACCAGAAAGCCACGGCUAACUACGUGCCAGCAGCCGCGGUAAUUC